CCUUACCUACUCUUGACAUCCAGAGAAGCCAGCGGAGACGCAGGUGUGCCUUCGGGAGCUCUGAGACAGGUGCUGCAUGGCUGUCGUCAGCUCGUGUUGUGAAAUGUUGGGUUAAGUCCCGCAACGAGCGCAACCCUUAUCCUUGUUUGCCAGCGAGUAAUGUCGGGAACUCCAGGGAGACUGCCGGUGAUAAACCGGAGGAAGGUGGGGACGACGUCAAGUCAUCAUGGCCCUUACGACCAGGGCUACACACGUGCUACAAUGGAGCGUACAAAGGGUUGCGAAGCCGCGAGGUGGGGCUAAUCCCAUAAAACGUUUCGUAGUCCGGAAAGGAGUCUGCAACUCGACUCCAUGAAGUCGGAAUCGCUUAUAGAGGGGAAUCAGAAUGUCACGGUGAAUACGUUCCC
rnacentral:rRNA from 1 species